GAGAACCGGUCAUGAUAUUAUUGAAUUAAAUUGAUCAAAACAAAUAACAAUCCAUGAAUGACUCAAGUAUUUAGUGAAAUAGAAUUGUUCUGAACUUUUGUUUAUGUUUAGACAAUUUUCGUCAUUUAUAGUAUUAAAGUUGGCCAUUCAUAGUUACAUGUUUAUUUAUCAUAUAUCCACUAGAAUCGAAUAGUUUGAGAAUGUAUGAUGAUAUAAUCAAAUUAAUUCAUCACUUUAAGUACGAUUUGAUAUGAACAUCAUCGAAUAACAAUGAAUUGAAUAUCAUCACUUUUUUUUCGAUGCCAAAUCGAUUCAUAGUCCAAACUUUCUGUUUGAUUAUUUGUUUAGUAAUCAAAAUGGAUUCGAUUCCAAAAACUUUUCUCAUACUCAUUCACAUUAUAAUUAAUUAUGGCCAAUAGUUUUACAUCUGUGGUCUCUUUUCAUGAAUUUUGAUAUCAAAAAUAAUGCCUGGCUAUCUGAACAGAUUGAACUGCAGUAAUUUCUGGGAAAACUGAAAUUUAAAAAUAAUCAAAACAUUCACUGCUGUGAUUAUUUGUGUUCGAAACAAAUUACAAUGAAAAUAGAAUAAUCCGACCUCAAAAUGUUUUGUUUAGAAUUUACUUCAACCUGAAACGACAUACGCGCAUACACAUUAUAUUCAUAAUCUGAUCUGGAAAUUCAUCAUAUUGCCAAAACGGUUAACCAGAAAAAUACCAGAGACCAAAAUUAUUCUUCUGUCAAGCAAGAAGCAAACAUUUCCCAUUCAUUCUCGUCUCUUACUAUAUUCAAAGGAAUUCAUGAAAACACAAUCAUGGAAUUAUUUAUUGCGAUAUUUUAUUUUGUUAAUUAAAUG